GAGGGGAGGGGCGAAGGUGUUUCAGAAGCGUAAAGAGACGCCGUGGCUGAGGCAGGCCCUGCGACGACGGCGUCGGCCUCCGAGCGCAGCCGAAGCGUGCGCCCCGAGGAGCCGGGCAUUCUUAGGAGAAUGGUUGGAGGAGGAGCGCAACUUCCGGAAAAUCCAGAUUGCGUCGAGUGCAACACUUUUUGUGGCAGAUUCAUCACAUCACAAAAAGGAUCCGCCCAGUGUCAAAGAUGAUGCUUGAGAUUGAGACUACAAUUAAGUUGAGGAUUGUGACUAGGAGCAGGAGGGUGCCACAGCCUUGGACUCAGGAUGAAGCUGGAGACUCGAGGACCCAGGCACACUCAGGAGAGGGCAAGUAGCUGAUUUUCUGGGAUUUGGCCCAUAUAU